rnacentral:rRNA from 1 species
GGAGCUUGCGUCACAUUAGUUAGUUGGUGGGGUAAAGGCCUACCAAGACUAUGAUGUGUAGCCGGGCUGAGAGGUUGAACGGCCACAUUGGGACUGAGACACGGCCCAAACUCCUACGGGAGGCAGCAGUAGGGAAUUUUCGGCAAUGGAGGAAACUCUGACCGAGCAACGCCGCGUGAACGAUGAAGUAUUUCGGUACGUAAAGUUCUUUUAUUAGGGAAGAAUAAAUGAUGGAAAAAUCAUUCUGACGGUACCUAAUGAAUAAGCCCCGGCUAACUAUGUGCCAGCAGCCGCGGUAAUACAUAGGGGGCAAGCGUUAUCCGGAAUUAUUGGGCGUAAAGGGUGCGUAGGCGGUUAAAUAAGUUUAUGGUCUAAGUGCAAUGCUCAACAUUGUGAUGCUAUAAAAACUGUUUAGCUAGAGUAAGAUAGAGGCAAGUGGAAUUCCAUGUGUAGUGGUAAAAUGCGUAAAUAUAUGGAGGAACACCAGUAGCGAAGGCGGCUUGCUGGGUCUUUACUGACGCUGAGGCACGAAAGCGUGGGGAGCAAACAGGAUUAGAUACCCUGGUAGUCCACGCCGUAAACGAUGAGUACUAAACGUUGGGUAAAACCAGUGUUGAAGUUAACACAUUAAGUACUCCGCCUGAGUAGUACGUACGCAAGUAUGAAACUUAAAGGAAUUGACGGGACUCCGCACAAGCGGUGGAUCAUGUUGUUUAAUUCGAAGGUACCCGAAAAACCUCACCAGGUCUUGACAUGCUUCUGCAAAGCUGUAGAAACACAGUGGAGGUUAUCAGUUGCACAGGUGGUGCAUGGUUGUCGUCAGCUCGUGUCGUGAGAUGUUGGGUUAAGUCCCGCAACGAGCGCAACCCUUAUUGUUAGUUACCAGCACGUAAUGGUGGGGACUUUAGCAAGACUGCCAGUGAUAAAUUGGAGGAAGGUGGGGACGACGUCAAAUCAUCAUGCCCCUUAUGACCUGGGCUACAAACGUGAUACAAUGGCUGUUACAAAGGGUAGCUGAAGCGCAAGUUUUUGGCGAAUCUCAAAAAAACAGUCUCAGUUCGGAUUGAAGUCUGCAACU